rnacentral:tRNA from 1 species
GGGGGAGUAGUCUAGUCUGGUAGGAUUACACCUUGGGGUGGUGUCGGCCCGAGUUCAAAUCUCGGCUCUCCCA